GGGCGUAAAGGGCUCGCAGGCGGUUUCUUAAGUCUGAUGUGAAAGCCCCCGGCCUCAUCCGGGGAGGGUCAUUGGAAACUGGGAAACUUGAGUGCAGAAGAGGAGAGUGGAAUUCCACGUGUAGCGGUGAAAUGCGUAGAGAUGUGGAGGAACACCAGUGGCGAAGGCGACUCUCUGGUCUGUAACUGACGCUGAGGAGCGAAAGCGUGGGGAGCGAACAGGAUUAGAUACCCUGGUAGUCCACGCCGUAAACGAUGAGUGCUAAGUGUUAGGGGGUUUCCGCCCCUUAGUGCUGCAGCUAACGCAUUAAGCACUCCGCCUGGGGAGUACGGUCGCAAGACUGAAACUCAAAGGAAUUGACGGGGGCCCGCACAAGCGGUGGAGCAUGUGGUUUAAUUCGAAGCAACGCGAAGAACCUUACCAGGUCUUGACAUCCUCUGACAACCCUAGAGAUAGGGCUUUCCCUUCGGGGACAGAGUGACAGGUGGUGCAUGGUUGUCGUCAGCUCGUGUCGUGAGAUGUUGGGUUAAGUCCCGCAACGAGCGCAACCCUUGAUCUUAGUUGCCAGCAUUCAGUUGGGCACUCUAAGGUGACUGCCGGUGACAAACCGGAGGAAGGUGGGGAUGACGUCAAAUCAUCAUGCCCCUUAUGACCUGGGCUACACACGUGCUACAAUGGACAGAACAAAGGGCUGCAAGACCGCAAGGUUUAGCCAAUCCCAUAAAUCUGUUCUCAGUUCGGAUCGCAGUCUGCAACUCGACUGCGUGAAG
rnacentral:rRNA from 1 species